UACGUAGGGUGCGAGCGUUGUCCGGAAUUACUGGGUCGUAAAGAGCUCGUAGGCGGUUCGUCGCGUCGGCUGUGAAAUCCCGAGGCUCAACCUCGGGUCUGCAGUCGAUACGGGCGGACUGGAGUUCGGCAGGGGAGACUGGAAUUCCUGGUGUAGCGGUGAAAUGCGCAGAUAUCAGGAGGAACACCGGUGGCGAAGGCGGCAUCCUGGACCGGCAUUGACGCUGAGGCGCGAAAGCCAGGGGAGCAAACGGG
rnacentral:rRNA from 1 species